rnacentral:rRNA from 1 species
UACAGAGGGUGCAAGCGUUAUUCGGAAUUACUGGGCGUAAAGCGUGUGUAGACGGCUUUGCAAGUCCGGCGUGAAAGCCCCGGGCUCAACCUGGGAAUUGCAUUCGAGACUGUGUAGCUAGGGUACGGUAGGGGGAAGCGGAAUUUCAGGUGUAGCGGUGAAAUGCGUAGAUAUCUGAAGGAACACCAGUGGCGAAAGCGGCUUCCUGGUCCAGUACCGACGUUCAGGCACGAAAGCGAGGGGAGCAAACAGG